rnacentral:pre_miRNA from 1 species
GAGACAGGGAUGAGGCAGAGCAUGGGAUGAGGCCAUCAACAAAAUUUCCAAUUUCUGUCCUCCGCUAGGCCGCUACUGCAUUUCUGUUUGCUUGCUCACAAAACGGAGGGAUUUGUGAGAGUUAUCAGGCAGAAAGAACAAAGAAGGUGCCUCCCUGGUGAAGUGGUGAUGGCCUGACCUGAGACGGCUGAGAGCUCAGCUGGUGUCCUGUUGUUGCUUCCUCCCCUGCACUGCCUCUUCCCUGGCUC